UUUCCGUAGGUGAACCUGCGGAAGGAUCAUUACAGAGUUCAUGCCCUCACGGGUAGAUCUCCCACCCUUGAAUAUUUAUACCUUAGUUGCUUUGGCAGGCCGUGGAAACACCAUGGGCUCCGGCUUAUGCGUGCCUGCCAGAGGAAACAAACUCUGUUUUCAGUGAUGUCUGAGUACUAUAUAAUAGUUAAAACUUUCAACAACGAAUCUCUUGGUUCUG
rnacentral:misc_RNA from 1 species